AGUGGGGAAUAUUGGACAAUGGGCGCAAGCCUGAUCCAGCCAUGCCGCGUGAGUGACGAAGGUCUUCGGAUUGUAAAGCUCUUUUGGCGGGGACGAUAAUGACGGUACCCGCAGAAUAAGCCCCGGCUAACUUCGUGCCAGCAGCCGCGGUAAUACGAAGGGGGCUAGCGUUGUUCGGAAUUACUGGGCGUAAAGCGCACGUAGGCGGAUUUGUUAGUCAGGGGUGAAAUCCCGGGGCUCAACCUCGGAACUGCCUUUGAUACUGCAAGUCUCGAGUCCGGAAGAGGUGAGUGGAAUUCCUAGUGUAGAGGUGAAAUUCGUAGAUAUUAGGAAGAACACCAGUGGCGAAGGCGGCUCACUGGUCCGGUACUGACGCUGAGGUGCGAAAGCGUGGGGAGCAAA
rnacentral:rRNA from 1 species